AGCGAACGCUGGCGGCAGGCCUAACACAUGCAAGUCGAGCGCUCGUAGCAAUACGAGAGCGGCAGACGGGAGAGUAACACGUGGGAACGUACCCUUCAGUUCGGAACAACCCAGGGAAACUUGGGCUAAUACCGGAUACGUCCGUAAGGAGAAAGAUUUAUCGCUGAAGGAUCGGCCCGCGUCUGAUUAGCUAGUUGGUGAGGUAACGCUCACCAAGGCUACGAUCAGUAGCGGUCUGAGAGGAUGAUCAGCCUCACUGGGACUGAGACACGGCCCAGACUCCUACGGGAGGCAGCAGUGGGGGAUAUUGGACAAUGGCGCAAGCCUGAUCCAGCCAUGCCGCGUGAGUGAAG
rnacentral:rRNA from 1 species